rnacentral:lncRNA from 1 species
UAAUGAGCAGCUAGUAGUCUCAUUUAGGGACAUUCACCUGCCUGGGCACAGUGGAGAUGAUUAGAUGAGAACCGGCCCUUUCAGGUUAGUACCCAAGGAUCCACUUUCUAAAAGGAGAGUGCCUGCACAGAUUAAUUUUUGAGCCAAGCUGGUCUUGCAAGGCUGGGUCUCUUCCCUCACUCUGCUCUUACUGCAUCCUCCACUGCAAAGCACCAGGCCGGGACGAGCAGAGGCAGACAUUGAAGCAAGAGUUUCUGGGAGGUGCUCUGUAGCUCCAUUAUCAUGUGAACAAUAAAAGAGGAUCCUUGGGCUGCUGAGAUGAUUCAGUGGAUACAGCUGCUUUCUGCCAAGUGGGAUGACCUGAAUAUGAUCCCUGGAACCCACAUGGUGGAAGGAAGAGAACCAACUUCCACAAAGCUGUCCUCUGACUCCACACGUAUUCUGUGACACGCAGACGUGCACCCGCGCACAUGCAUGCAUGCAUGCAGAAGCAAUAAAGACUGCUGUUUGAACGCUGUACUGUAGAAGGCACAGACUGAGAUGCUGGAUCAACUGCGCAUGCCUGUCUUUGUGACCGGCUGCUAUCGAUCCUUCCGAGCCCGUGUGCCACGCUGGAAAGCUGCAUCUAAGAGUUAAGAUUUACUGGCUUAAAAGCGUGUGUGUCGUGGGAUUGCGCGGUGGCUCAAUUGUGAGAAUUCAAUGUGAACAUCUUUGAAAUGCAGUUUCAAAUCUCCCACACGCUGACAAGAGCCACGUGAACCAUUGUGCAGCACUGCACCCAUUUGACAGAUGAGAGCAUGGAUACCUAACCGGAGCCUGGCAGGUCUUGGACAGCAGAGGCCACCCUGCAUCUGACACCAUCUCUUGUAAUCCAUGACUUCUCUUCCUGCCUCCAUGAAUCUCCAGAUAACAGAUUCCUGCCCUCCUAAAAGAUGGGAACUGACAUCCUAGCAGGCUCCUGGGCGAUGCAGAUGCUGGCAUUCUGGGCACUGCCCUUUGGAAAGCUAUGAUGACCACUGAAGCAGAACAGACCAAAGCAAAGAGGUGGGAAAGUCGCGAGAAGAUACAGGACUGGCUGGGAUACAUCAGGAAGAGGAGCUGCGAUGGAUGGGACUUCAAAUGGAAGUUGGUGAUUAUAUCCGUCCCAGCACCUCCCGCCUUGCAAGAGAGGCCUUAUAAAUCCUGGUCACAAGGAAGGGAAACAGAAGCUCAAGGAAGAGAGAGCCAUGGCUUCCUAGGUGUCAGUGAAGACCCAGACGCUGAAACUAUAACCGCCUAGUUCAGAAACCUAUACUUUGCUUGACCACAAUCCAAGCAGGGGGUGGGGAUGGGAUGUUUUUCUGCAGGGCUGGACAUAGAGUCAGUGUUCAGAGCACAUUGUUGGAGAGAGGAAGGAUGGGUGAGUGAAUAAGUGAAGAAAUGAAUGAGAGAACAGAACCACUUUGAGAGCCUGGAAACCGGGACCUCACGCUCUGUGACCUCACGCUCCAACUUCCCCUCCUCCCCGAGUCUGAUCUGAAAGGUGACCCCCGUUCCUCUCGCCCAGGUGAUAAAGCCAGGUGCAGGUGCACCUGUUACCCAAACCUGAUAUCCAAAUAGGAAGUAAGGCUGAGAUAAGGCUGUGGAGGGCAGUGCCUGGAAUCACGGGGUUGGGCUGGCCAUUGGCUUGAUGCCACAAGUGUCCACCGAGCCUCUCCUAAAGGUUGAGCUCUAUGCCAGGUUCCUUCAGGGUGAGGCAGGAAGCCACGCAGCUCCUGACCUCCAACAGCUUAUGGAAAAAAAAAAUACUUACAAACAGGAUGUGGGUCGGGCAAAGGGAGAAGUGUGAAGCAGGUGGCCAUUGCUCCCUGACAGCUCCAACAGGGAGUUGGGACUGAGAGAUGAGAAGAAAUGAGGCAGUAGUUAGUGAUGCCAGGGGAGGGGCCUGACCCUUGCACUGCCAUUGCUGAGGAAUAAGAGGUCCUUAAAGUUUAGCUCCUCAGACCCAGACCCCUCCCCAGUCCUCCUAC